GAUGAACGCUGGCGGCGGGCCUAACACAUGCAAGUCGAGCGAAGCGGGGACGGGUGAGUAACACGUGGAUAACCUCCUAUAAGACUGGGAUAACUUCGGGAAAACGGAGCUACACCGGAUACUUAUAGAUGGUUCCGUGCUGGAUUAGUUAGUUGGUAAGAUAACGGCUUACCAAGGCAACGCUCCAUAGCAGACCUGAGAGGGUGAUCGGCCACACUGGAACUGAGACACGGUCCAGACUCCUACGGGAGGCAGCAGGAGGGAAUAUUCCACAAUGGGCGAAAGCCUGACGGAGCAACGCCGCGUGAGGGAUGAAGGUCUUCGGAUUGUAAAGCACUGUUAUUAGGGAAGCGGUACCUAAUCAGAAAGCAACGGCUAACUACGUGCCAGCCGCCGCGGUAAUAC
rnacentral:rRNA from 1 species